AUUGAACGCUGGCGGCAUGCUUUACACAUGCCAGUCGAACGGCAGCGCGGGCUUCGGCCUGGCGGCGAGUGGCGAGCGGGUGAGUAAUACAUCGGAACGUGCCCAGUAGUGGGGGAUAGCUCGGCGAAAGCCGGAUUAAUACCGCAUACGACCUGAGGGUGAAAGCGGGGGAUCUUCGGACCUCGCGCUAUUGGAGCGGCCGAUGGCAGAUUAGCUAGUUGGCGGGGUAAAGGCCUACCAAGGCGACGAUCUGUAGCUGGUCUGAGAGGACGACCAGCCACACUGGGACUGAGACACGGCCCAGACUCCUACGGGAGGCAGCAGUGGGGAAUUUUGGACAAUGGGCGAAAGCCUGAUCCAGCAAUGCCGCGUGUGUGAUGAAGGCCUUCGGGUUGUAAAGCACUUUUGGCGGGGACGAAAAGGACUGAGCCAAUACCACGGUUCGAUGACGGUACCCGCAGAAUAAGCACCGGCUAACUACGUG
rnacentral:rRNA from 1 species